rnacentral:lncRNA from 1 species
CCCAAGAAAACAAAACAAGAGAACAUUCUGGGUCUUUAUUAGCAGGCUCCUUUCUGCUGGGCAGCCCCAGCCCGGCAAGGCCAUGAGUCGGAGCCUCCGUGUAGGGCGGGUCUCCUCAAAACGCGUGCACCAGCUGGACAGCGGGCAGCGUCUGCACGAUCUGGAUGGAGGGCAGGGCCUGCGGGCUCACAAGCCCAGGCGCGGUCCCUGCGGGGACCACCUGCACCAUCUGGGGGGCAGUAGUCAUGGUGCCGGCUGCCGCAGGGGCAGAGACUGGGCCAGGGGGCGGAGGGGCCAGGAGCUGCAGCGUGGCGGUGCCUCCCCCCACGCUGCGGCUUUCCAGCAGCUCGGCGGCAGGGGCGCUGCGGAUGAUGAGCAGUUUCUGUCCAGGAGGAGCUGAGGCAGGUGGCUCAGUCAGCCCAGUAGGAAGGGUUUCUACCUCCUGCACACACAGCCGUGUCUGCUCCCCAUCCGCUCCGCUCAGCACCAGCACGCUCUGCAGCCCCUCGUCUGUCUGCAGCGUCUCAAAGACAACAUCCUGCACCACACCCGCGCUGGCCUCGCCAUCCCCGGCCUCUCCAGGACCUGGGGCCGCAAGCAGCUCCUCAGCUGCCUCGCUCUGGACCACCAGCAGGUUGGGGGCCUCGUGGUCACUGCUCCUCCACUGGAAUUGGACAGCUGGCCUGCCAAAGGCUGCAGCUGGACCGUGGUCACUUCCUGGGCCGGCUGGAGCUGGACCGUGGUCACUUCCUGGGCCGGCUGGAGCUGGACUGUGGUCACUUCCUGGGCCGGCUGGAGCUGGACCCCACUCACUUCCUGAGGCCCUGCAUCCCCACUCCCUACAUUCUGCAAGACAAUGAGGCUCUGCCCUCCCCCACUGCCCCCUGCACCACCACCCCCCCUGCACCCCCCAGGCCGCCAGGCCCCGGUAGCCAAACCACUCCUGCACCCUGGCCAGCUUUUCCCAGAGCCCGAGGCCCCUGCCUCGCUGGUCCACCCCCAGCACCGGAGGGGGGCAGCAGGAUAAGCUUAGGGGGGAGCAGGUGGGGGCGGCGGGUGGGGGGCUGGACACUGCUGGGGAUCAGCUGGAGGCCCUGGGCGGUCUGCACCAGGAGAAAUGUCUGGGAGUUGGGUGCUGCUGGGCCUGGGGCGGGGCCUGGGCCGUGCCCCCGCCACCUCGAGGGAAAGUGUGGCCUGGAGGUGGGGGAGCACGUGGACAUCCUGGGUGGCCAGCGGGGCUGGGGCUGCGGCCAGCGGGGCCGGGGCUGGGGGGCUGCAGCACCAGAGGCCGCCUGGGCCGGGGUGUAAGCGUCCUCAUGUGCCGCUGCAGGUAGGCAGCCAUGACGGCCGCGCCGCAGAUGGCACAGGUGAAGGGGCGCCGGCUGAGUGCGUGCGCUGGUGCAGCAGCAGGUUGGAUGAGUGCGUGAAGGUCUUGGGGCAGAGCGCACAGCGGAAGGGGCGCUCGCCCGCGUGCACGCGCUGGUGCUGCCGCAGGUUGGUGCUCUGCGUGAAGCUCUUGCCGCACACGCCGCACGUGUAGGGCCGCUCGCCCGUGUGGACAUGCCGGUGGUACUGGUAGUGCGAUGACCACUUGAAGGCCAGGCCACACUGGCCGCAGGUGAAGGCGCGCAGGCCGGUGUGCACACUGCGGUGGAUCUGCAGCAGCGAUGAGCGCUGAAGGCCUUGGGGCAGUCGGGGCACUGGUAGGGCCGCUCGCCCGUGUGGCCUCGCUGAUGGUAGAGCAGUGCAGAGGAGCCCUUGAAGGCCUUGGGGCAGUCGGGGGCACUUGUAGGGCCGCUCGCCAGUGUGCGUGCGCUGGUGAUGCAGGAGCCUGGACGACCACCGGAAAGACUUGCCGCACUCCCGCACUCAUACUGGGCCGUGGUCGCGGGGCCGCCGGCGCCAGCUUCUCCCUGGCCCCUCGGUGGUGGAGGCAGGCACCAUGUCUGCUUGGGAGCCGACCAUCACACCUGGGGGCGGGGGUUCCAGGUCAGGCCACAGAGCCUGGGCCCUGGAGGGAGAGGGCCACCCCCUGGGUCCCCUUUGCUCAGGGAACCUGCUCAGGAGCGGGGCUUCCCAACCCCAGGUGUCCCCUGGGCCUGCAGGGCAGAGGGGUGUGGCCUGGGGUCACUUCCGGGUUUGAACAAAACUUGCCGCACACAGUCCAGCCGCCCCUCCAGAGGCCCCAGCGGUUCUGAGGAGGCUCGGCCUGGCCUUUCAGGCUGAGCUGCCUCCCUCUAAAUGCACCCACCGCAGCUUCCUGUCCUCAGCACCUCCUCCCCUGCUGGGCGUGGCUGUGCACACUUAUGAUCCCGGCAAUCAGGAGACUGAAGCAGGAGGAUCUUGAGUUCAAGGCCAGCCUGGACUAUUAGGGAGUUCAAGGGCAGCCUGGACUACACAGUGACACCCUGUCUCAAAAAACCAGAACACGUUUUGAAUAAAUAUUUUUUAAAAGACCUUAUUCCCAACUCCACCUCAACACUUGCUCACCACCACACCCUGAAGCAGUGGUCGUGGACCCAUGGCACCCUGGCCACCGAGCACGCCAGUCACUGAGUAAAAGCUGUCAGAAGAGUGUUCUAACAUUCCGGCCACGCCAGGGGCUCUCAACUGGCACAACUGCCCCCCACCCCAGGACAGCUGGUGACAGCUGGAAGCACUGCUUCUCUGCCAGCUAGAGAAGCAGGGCCACUGGUACCAGUGGGCAGAGGCCGGGAUUCUUCCCACCAUCGGUUCGGUGCAUAGGACAGUCCCUCGGGAGGACCUGGUCCAAACGGCUGAGAAACCUCACCACCUGCCCGGCCUGCCCGGGCCCAGGCCUCUGGCCUCCCCGCACAUCCUGAACCUCCCAGGAGCUCUCCCGACAGGUUCCUCCACACACACCCUCCCGCUAGGCCCCCAUCUUCUCCAAGAAGGUGCUGGGUGUGGCCCAUGCCAGUGAUCCUAGCUACACUGGAGGCUGAGGCAGGAGGGAAAGUGUGAGCCCAGCUGGGGCAACUUGAUAAGACCUUGUCUGAGAAUAAAAAGUGCUGAGGAUGUAGCUCGGUAAUACAAAGCUUCCCACAAUGCACCAGUCCCUGAGUGCAGUCCCCAGCACCAAAAACCAAUCAACCAACCAAACAAACCAACCUACACUCCAGUCCCCAGGCAGCCACGGCUUUCCUUCUCUCUGCCUCUCUGGAGCAGAGCGGCUCUCAAGUGUCAACCUGCUCUUCCCACCCCAAACCACUCUGCCACUCUGCUGCCACUGCCCAGCAUCCAUAAGGGCGCCCACUUCAAACAUAAUGUGGCCAAACUCUAGGAGCAGUUUUCUGAUCCUGUGCCUUCCUAUCAAAAAUUUAAAAACCUACUCAACCAGUCUUCUAUGAAAACAGGGGGGCCAUUCUUCCUCUGGCCAAGGGCCCUGCCUGCCUCGCCGCCUCCGCUCUCUGUAUAAUCAACCGUCAGGAGAUCCCGGGCUCCACAGGACUGCAGCCAGAAGCUGGGGCCUCGGUCAUGCCUCCCCUGGGCAGCGGUGGUGUCUUCCUAACAGGUCGCCACGUCUCCACCCUGUCUGUUCCCUAAGGGACCCGUCAGGAGAGGACAGGGCAUCACAUUCCUCACUCCCAGGCCUCCUGAAGACCCCUCAAGGCUCAGCCUCUGCUUCCCAGAGCCCAAUCAUCCCUUCCUGCCUCCAAGCCCAGCAAGACAGGCUGUGCCACUCCCUCCACGUCCACGACCCCCCCCCAGUCUUCCCUGAGAGCUGCAUGGCCUUCGACUGCCUGCAGGGCCUCGAGCCCUUCCAACACUGCCUCCUCUCCCCGACUUCACUUGCUCUCCAUCGCGCUCAUCACCAUCCAAGUGCUACACAGCGAGGCAUCUUGGCCUUGGGAGCGGACUCCUCUGUCCAAGGGUCCCCUGCUUUCCUGGUGUUGAGCGGCGACCCUGAACUCGACCCACACCCUCGCAGGUGUGGCAGCAGCCACAAUGACCCUCGCCUAGGAAGCCUCCUACUCGCUCCUGCAGUGUCAUCCCGGAGAACAGCACCGCCCCCAGGUGACAACCGCUACCACACAAUGAUUGCCUCUGCCUCCCCGGGCUAGAAGGCCAGCCCCACGCAAAGGCCUUGGUUUUGUUCCCUGUAGUGUCUCGGCCCCUACAUAACGUCGGGCGUGGCGUGUGCGCUGGAAACGCUUCUGGAGGAAGGCAAGCUGCAGGUCUCGUCUGGACAGGGGUCUUUCCUUUAAAAGAUGGGCGUCCCUUUCGGGUGCGAGCAGCUCCUUGAAAGACAUUGAUUAUCCCAAGGGGCUGGUCUGCCUCUGAGAAGGGGUCAUCGCCGUAUACUCGGGACGCCCGCGCUCCGGAGUGGCGAGCCCAUCCCCGCCUUGGAGCGGGCCGGCUGCCCCUCUAGGGGAUGCGUCGGCCUCACACCAUCUCCACCUCUGCAGCACAAAGAUCCUGCAGUUUUCCCUUGGAUGUCUGGGAAACUGGCACUGGCCUUCAAUGGAAUAACCCUCUUUUGGGGGGCAAGGCGCAAAGCUUUGUAAAAUGGGAAGCCUGCCACGCCCUCGAAACGCAGUCCCUUGCCCUUUAAGAGGGUGGGGCCGAUGCAGGCACAGAAAUCGGAGGCGAAUCAGCGGCCUCCCCUUUAAGGCGCCCCUUCCGGUUUCUCGCUUGCCGUUUCCCAAACUACUCCGCCCUCCGGCCCCUCCCCCCUCGCGCCCUCCGGUUUCUCACCUGCGGCCCCGGUUGGGGGACCCGGGGGAGUCUCCGGGUAUCGCCGCGGGGACCGAUGGGAAGGCGGGCCGGCACGGCACCGCAGCAGCGGAGGCCGGGGAGGGGCGGGGGCGCGCACCCUCCCGGCGGCCCCGGCGCGAGGCACCCAACCUUUAUCGGCGGCCGCUCGCGCACACAACCCCGACGCCGACGCCGCGUCAUGACGCACGCACGCACGUGUGCCGCGCAGCCGGGCCCCGCCCCCGGCCCGCGGCCUGGAGGGUCGGGGGGCGUCUUGGGUUCCGCGUGGGCACUGCGGACGGCCCCAAUCUCCUCGCCGACCGAGCACCCCCCUUCCCGCAGCGCUUCCGAGCGAGCCCCGCCUAGCCGAGGUGACGGGUCUCGCUAUGCAGUUCAGGCUGGCCUCCAACUCCCGGCGACCCUCCUGCCUUAGCCUCCCGAGCGCUGGGAUUAUAAGUCACUCAAAUUGCAAUCUUCAGCAAUUUGGGGUUUUUUCUUUUUUUUGGUACCAGGGCUUGAACUCGGGUCCUUUCGCUUGCGCAGCAGGCGACGAAAAACCAUUGAGCUAAAUCCCCGGCCCCUGAAAAUUGCAAUCUUAACAUUGUACUUUUAAGACAACUGCAGCUUCAACGCACAGUUACCCAGGACCCCAGUGCUUUUUUUCCCUUCCAGGCAACUCCAAAAUUCCUAAGAGUCUCAAAAGAUACAGCGAGCCUAAGUGGGCCCUGCCUUUCUCCUGUAAAUUGGGCCUGAGCCGGUGCUUAUCUUCCAGCACUGUAGAUUGACCAGUUCCAUCCGCAGGAAACGGUAGUUGCAAUCGAUUGAGUACCGUGUCUCUCAACUCCGAACUCCGGUGAAUGUCUCGCAUUCUAACCUAGCGGGCUACAGUCACCCGCGCAGACAGACCGAGUACUCACCCUAGGUGCUCCGCGUCGGGUCACCCCCGAACCAUACCUAUCCGAG